AAAACACUAUACACAAUCGCACAGAAAGGGGAGAUAAGGGAAUCCAGAGUGCUUAGCUUUGCUAGUUUUUGCCAAGAGUAAAAAUCUUGGAGAAUAAGUGGUGGGAAAGACUGGUGCCAGCCGCCGCGGUAACACCAGCGCCACGAGUGGGGAUCCUGAUUAUUUGGCCUAAAGCGUCCGUAGCUGGUUUAGUAAAUCUCUUGUGAAAUCGUUGGGCUCAACCCACCGGCGGGCGGGGGAGACUGCUAGACUAGGGACGGGGGGGGGUCAGAGGUAUGCCGGGGGGAGCGGUAAAAUGUUUUAAUCCCUAGUAAACCACCUGUGGGGAAGGCUUCUGACUAGAACGGGUCCGACAGUGAGGGACGAAAGCCGGGGGAGCAAACCGGAUUAGAUCCCCGAGUAGUCCUGGUUGUAAACGCUGCGAGCUAGGGGUUGCACAUUCUCCGCGAAUGUGCAGGGUCGAAGCGAAGGUGUUAAGCUCCCCGCCUGGGAAGUAUGGUCGCAAGACUGAAACUUAAAGAAAUUGGCGGGGGAAAGGGCAAAUUCGUUUAAACUUGCGGGACUAGUCCCUUUAGUGAGGGUUAAUUCUGAGCUGGGCGUAAUCAUGGCCAUAGCUGUUUCCCGGAGGGAAAAACACCGCCCCCUGAUCCCUAAACAAAGUCCAUGCGGGAAAAGAAAUUGGAGCCCCGAAUUCUCUUUUACCGGCAGGACACAAUAUGAAUUCGAUCGUGGAUAGUGGCUCAAAAAUAAAACCUCUAAAGUUUAAAGAACUCGCGCAUCCGAGCAUCUUUUCUAUAGUUCCCCCGAAUAA
rnacentral:rRNA from 1 species